GAUAAACGCUGGCGGCGUGCUUAACACAUGCAAGUCGAACGAAGUUUUUCCUUCGGGAGAAACUUAGUGGCGGACGGGUGAGUAACGCGUGGGUAACCUGCCCUGUACAGGGGGACAACAGCUGGAAACGGCUGCUAAUACCGCAUAAGCCCUUAGCACUGCAUGGUGCAUAGGGAAAAGGAGCAAUCCGGUACAGGAUGGACCCGCGUCUGAUUAGCCAGUUGGCAGGGUAACGGCCUACCAAAGCGACGAUCAGUAGCCGAUCUGAGAGGAUGUACGGCCACAUUGGGACUGAGACACGGCCCAGACUCCUACGGGAGGCAGCAGUGGGGAAUAUUGCACAAUGGAGGAAACUCUGAUGCAGCGACGCCGCGUGAGUGAAGAAGUAUUUCGGUAUGUAAAGCUCUAUCAGCAGGGAAGAAAAUGACGGUACCUGACUAAGAAGCACCGGCUAAAUACGUG
rnacentral:rRNA from 1 species